AAAAAGCAGAUUAAAAAAGCCAUUAUAAAUUAAAACUCCAAGUGCUUGCUUACUUAAGAAUAAGAUUUACAUGCAAAAUAACAGCCUUUCACCAAAGUUCUUGAUUAGGCAACACUGAAAGAACUUGCAGUGUCCUCCACAAACUUUCUUGCUCCCUUAAACCACCUCUUGUCACCAGCUUGAGCCUUGCAGAUGUAUAAUUUUCCAUCCUUUACAGUUGCUGUAAUCAGCUGAUGCUUUCCACCUUCAUCUCCAUCAGCAGUCCUUGUCAAUACCGAAAUGUUGUAAUACUGUUUUCCACCAAUCACUGGUGCUGAGCUCUCUAAGAUGUUUGCAACAGCUACAGCAUUUGUAUCGAAACCUCCCUGAGGAAAUUCAAGUUAAGAAAUAGUUGAAUGAAAUGCAAAUGCAAAAGUUACAACCGAUACUUAAAACCAAAGGCAUGUCUGGUGUUCGACACGUGUGAGUGUCUGACAUCAACAUGACAUUGGUACAUGUGGUUUACAUUCAAUCACUUCAAUUUUCUCAAAUAAUGAAUGACAUUUACGUGUCAAUGUCGUGUCUGAAGUCUGCGUUUAAGUCAUAAUGCAUGGUUGUCAUAAAUCAUCAGCAAAUUACCUCUGAAUCAGUUUGUCCAAAGAAGGCUUGUUUUCCAAGCAAAUAGUCCACCUGCAAAGAGGAAAACCAAAUCUUCAAUUUCAACAAAGAUAUGUUGUUUUUGCCUUUAAAACUCAAAGGCAUUGUUCAUUUGAAUAUUGGAAGUUUCACUCAAAACCAAUGCACAUUUAUUGGUUUAUAUUGUUCACGUUCCUUCCUUAUAUAAAAACGAAUUCUGCCAUUCGCUGCAAAAAUCAUCAAAAAAUACUUUUCUUUGUCAGAUGAAAUCCAUAGAUAACUCCUACUAGUGUCAAUCUUAUUUGCAACCAAAAAAUGACAAAUUUAGAAAUGUGAAGUUAUGGUGAAAAUACAGACAUGAUUUAAUCUAUUAGUUGUCUCGGAUAGUUGUGCAUAGACAUCUGAUUGUAGGGGCUCAGGGUCAAACUCCCGACAUAGUUAUUGAUAUUUAUGAGUUGAAAUUUCAACCAUUAUGCUAUUCGACCAUAAAACAAAAAACAUGUCUAUAUUGAUGAUUUUAUCAAAAUAUUAUUAGUAUAGACAGAAAAGAAGCAAAAGUUAGAGAUUGUUUUAAGACCUUAGAUAGGAACUCUUCAGGUGAACCAUAGUCAGUGAUGGACUUCUUAUCAGUUGUUUGGACUAAAACCGAAACAUUGCUUGUUGCAUCAAAAUUAUCCUCAUAUCUAAGAACCUGACCAGGGAACUCUCUCUCUUUGCUUGGAUUCCAUUUUGCUGGCACCAGCAGCUUGAAUCCAUCUCCAUUGUAUGGCAAGUAAUCUGUGUUUGUCUUUGCCUUUCCAAACACAUUAGCUGAAACCAAAAUAAUAAAUCAAACAAAGCAUUUUCUCAACAAUGAAUGCAAAUAUUUCACUUUAAGCUCACUCACAUUCAUGAGUUAUGAUCAUCAUGCCAAGAUAUAGUUGAUUCAAUUUGGAUUCUAUGCAGUCACAUAUAAUUCUAAAUUGUAUUUAAAGUAAUAUAGUAAAAUAACACUGGGUCAUCUUAUCUUUGUCAAACGGUGAAAAUCCACUGACUAUGUAACUAGUCACGGUUUGACAAAAGAUCAUAUGACUCAUAUUGUAAAAAGAGUAUUUGAAAAUAUACCAGCUUCUCCAUAAGCAGCAUCUGCAGGUGAAACCUUGGAGCCAACAGCAGCAGCACCAAUGAGAACAGAAAGUGCUAACCUACGAGACACAACAGCAUCAACAACAUCAUCUUGUUUCUGUGCCUUGCAAACAAUAUGGUUUGGUUUGGUGGUAACUACUUGGCGUUGAGAUAAGGUUCUAGUUGGAGUUGUAAUAGCAUAUUGGUGGUGCAAGAAACAUUGUGUAGAUGCCAUUUUUCUUAAGAGUAUGCUAUAGUUUAAUUUUUUUCUUGUGAAUUUGACACUCUAAGAGUAAAGGCUUUUAGUGUUUGUGAAGUUUGAAUUGGAUUUAGAUAUGGUGUAUCUGAUGUGGCAAUGAACAUGUGGUUGGUUUUGGAUAUUGGAUUUGAAUGGAUGAUUUGUAACAUUUGAUAGCAUUGGUGAUGUGGGAUAAGGUUGUGAGGGCUGUGAUU
rnacentral:lncRNA from 1 species